GGGCCCGCACAAGCGGUGGAGCAUGUGGUUCAAUUCGACGCAACGCGAAGAACCUUACCCAGGCUUGAAGAGCGAGUGACCAUUCCCGAAAGGGAACUUCCGCAAGGACACUCGUAGAGGUGCUGCAUGGCUGUCGUCAGCUCGUGUCGUGAGAUGUUGGGUUAAGUCCCGCAACGAGCGCAACCCUUGUUUGCUGUUGCCAUCAGGUUAUGCUGGGCACUCUGCAAAGACUGCCGGUGAUAAACCGGAGGAAGGUGGGGAUGACGUCAAGUCAGCAUGGCCUUUAUGUCUGGGGCUACACACGUGCUACAAUGGCCGGUACAAACCGUCGCAAAACCGUAAGGUGGAGCUAAUCGGAGAAAGCCGGUCUCAGUUCGGAUAGCAGGCUGCAACUCGCCUGCUUGAAGUUGGAAUCGCUAGUAAUCGCGGAUCAGCACGCCGCGGUGAAUACGUUCCCGGGCCUU
rnacentral:rRNA from 1 species